UGCUUGAUGUACUUGAAUGUUUCAGAAUUGUGCAUAAUAUGGAGUUUGCUAACGAGUUCCUGGUCAUACACCGAAGAAAUUACUCAUUAUCGUUAUCAUUCAGCAUCAAACAAAUUUGGAACAUCUCAGACAUUUAUAACACCGAUAAAAAGAUGGAGAGAACCAGAUAGAUGGGAUAGUAGUGAUCCACAAAGAUUGGGUCCACCAAUUUUUCGAAAAAAUAUGCAUAUCAGACCUUACGUAAGAUUAGCGAAAGUUGAAGAAAAACGAGAACAGCCGGAUCCUCUGGUUACGAUUACCGAAACUUUGGGUGCCUUAAAUACUGUCGGGAGUUAUAUCGUUAAUAUGACCAGAGGAGUGGAGAACUCAAAUUAUCCACCAAAGGAAUUACCAUCAGCUAUAUACACUAUUUCAAAGAAUAUUUUAGGACGCAAUGUAACAGAUAGUAUUGCACCGCUAGUCCGAGGUGUAGCUUUACCUCUACGACCUAUACCGACCGAAAGUUCUUCUGUCUCUUCUGUUUCUUCUUCUCCUGCAGAGAUUAAUCAAAACAUUAGAGAAAAAGAAUCAGUGAUAUCGUCGGUCGAUUGUACUACGGCAGAAGGCAAUCUUGGAAAAUGUCAGGAUUUAAGUAACUGUCCUCAAUUGUUACUCGAUUUGACCAAACUCAGACAAUCAUUAUGCUUUAAAAGUUUAUUUGUUCCGGGCGUUUGUUGCCCAUUGACGGAUAAAGUCGACAAUAAUGGAACUAGCUCGAUAGCCGGUAUAAUUCCAGCACCAGGAAUCGAGCCACCCAUACAUUCUCCAUCGAGACCACCAGUCCGACCAACGAAGCCACAUCAAACUCCUCGACCCAUUCCAUUGUUUCCUGUCAUUACAACUGUAUCUCCUAUCAAUCCAUCGGUAAAUCAUUCAACUAAUUUCUUUGGAUCUUCAACAUCCGGCAGCACUAUUGAUAAUAAUUUUAUACAAAACGAUGAAGAAUGUGGAGUAAGAAACUCAGGUAAAUAUCGAGUAGUCGGCGGAGAAGAAGCUCUUCCAGGACGUUGGCCUUGGAUGGCAGCGAUUUUUUUACAUGGCUCUAAACGCACAGAAUUUUGGUGUGGUGGAUCUUUGAUUGGAUCGCGAUACAUUUUAACUGCGGCUCAUUGUACACGCGAUCACCGUCAACGGCCAUUUGCUGCUAAACAAUUCACUGUACGUCUUGGAGACAUAGAUCUUGAAAGGAAUGACGAACCAUCCGCGCCAGAAACUUACAUGGUUAAACAAAUUCAUGCACAUCCAAAAUUCUCUCGUGUUGGAUUUUAUAAUGAUAUUGCAGUUUUGGAGUUGACGAGGACUGUUCGAAAAUCUCCUUAUGUAAUACCAAUUUGUUUACCACAAGCACAUUAUCGAAACGAACGAUUUGCUGGUGCUAGACCAACCGUUGUUGGAUGGGGUACUACCUAUUAUGGUGGAAAAGAAAGCACGGUACAGCGGCAAGCAGUGCUUCCAGUAUGGAGAAACGAAGAUUGCAAUGCAGCUUAUUUUCAACCAAUUACUAGUAAUUUUCUUUGUGCUGGUUAUAGUCAAGGCGGCAAAGAUGCUUGUCAAGGUGAUUCCGGUGGUCCACUUAUGCUUAGAGCAGAUGAAUGAAAACUAAAAGUAACUCAGUUCCAAAUUUCAAAAGUUUCGUCGAACAAAUGAUCGAUGGAGCGCUAAAAAAUAAUGAUCAAAUUGUACAAUUUCAUCAAAUGAUUUAUGAGAAAUGGAAUUUCAAGAAAUUAUUGGAAUUAGAAAAUGCUAACUAUAAACAAAAUGAAGAAUCUUUAGAAUCGAAAGAGAAUAUAUCAGCAACGGUAGCGCAUCGUAGAUCGCGUCGCUAUAAAUAUAAGCGAACUUCGGUAACGAUUUUCCAUAAAAUGCCUAGUCAAAAAGAUGUGUCAGAAAUAAGACAAACACCAAACUUCGUUUCGAUUAACAAUAAGGAAUUUACUAAUGAAAAAGAGGAUUUGAAUAAACUAGAUGACAUUAAUCUUUCUCCUAUCAUUGGUGAUACUAAAGUUAUUGAACUUUGGAGCAACUCAACAAACCGCGCAGCAGAUAAAUUACAAAUUGCAACAAACAACGUUUCUUUGGUUGACUGUGAUCAUAUGCAUGGGUUAUUAUUCUAUUUAUAAAAAAUCAAAUUUCGUCAAAUUUAUUGAAUUUAGAGAAUAGUUUGCAACAUAUACUUGUUUGCUUAAAAAAUAAAAUAUAGAUUAGCAAGUCAGCGACAAAAUGAAAAAAAACUAUCCUUUGAAGCUUGGAAAAAUAAGAAAACUAUCACAUAUAAACGAAUACUUAAAA